rnacentral:tRNA from 1 species
AAUGAAGUGCCUGAGUAAAGGAUUAUCUUGAUAGGAUAAAAUACGUAUAAAUUUUUUACCUUCAUUA